UCAGUUUCUUCAAUAAAUGGUGUGGUAAAAAUGGGAUAUUCACACAAAGAAGACUAAAAUGAGAUCUCUGUUUCUCAUCUCAUACAAAAAUAAACUCAAAAUGAACCAAAAAUAUAAAUAUAGGACAUGAAACUACUAGAAGAAAGUAUAGGGGAAACAUUUGGAAACAUCAGUAUAGGCAGCAAUUUUUUGGAUGUGACCCCAAAAUAAUAGGAAAUAAAAGCAAAAAUAGACAAAUGGGGUUAUAUCAAACUAAAAAUUUACUGAUUUGCAAAGGCAAUCAACAGACCAAAGCAAAAGUGAAAGAACAGGAGAAAAAUUUACAAAUUUCAUCUGACAAAGGAUUAAUAUUUAGAAUAUAUAAAGAACUUUUAAAACUCAAUAACAACAAAAUCCACCCAGAUGCAGUCACCUGUAAUCCCAGUGGCUUGGGAGGCUGAGGCAGGAAGAUUGAAAGUUCAAAGCUAGGGCUGGAGUUGUGGCUCAGUGGCAGAGUGCUUGCCUAGCAUGUGUGAAGUACUAAGUUCAAUUCUCAGCACCGCAUAUAAAUAAAGAAAAUAAAGGUCCAUCGGCAACUAAAAAUAUAUUUUAAAAAAAGAAAAGAAAAAAGUUCCAAAUAAAUAAAUAAAUCCAAUUUUAAAAUGGGCAAAGGACAUGAAUAUAUGUUUCUCAAAAGAAGUUCAAAUGGGGUCUGGGGUUGUAGCUCAGCGGUAGAGUGCUCAUGUAGCACAUGUGGGGCUCUGGGUUUGAUCCUCAGCACCACAUAAAAAUAAAAUAAAGGUAUUGUGUCCAAUUACAACUAAAACAAAAUAUUAAAAAAAGAAAUUCAAAUGGGCAACAAAUAUAUGAAUCACCCAAAUUCAUAGCCAUCAGGAAAAUGCAAGUCAAAACCACAGUGAGCUCUCCUCUCACCCCAAUUAGGAUGGUCAUUAUCAAAAAGACAAAAAACAAUAAACACUGGUAAGGAUGUGGAAAAAAGGGAACUUUCAUACAAGUUUAAGGAGAUAUCAAAAUGUACCUUAGUAUAGCCACUAUGGAGAACAAUAUGGAGAAUCCUCAAGAAACAAAAUAUAUCAACCAUAUGAUCCAACUGUCUUACUUCCUGCUAUGUAUCCAAAGGAAAUGAUAACAAAACAUGAAAGAUACACUUAUACACUCAUGCUUGUUGCUGCACUAUUCAAAAUAGCUAAAAUAUGGAGUCAACCUAAAUGCCUAUCAAUGGAUGAAUGGAUAAAGAGGAUGUGCUAUAUAUAAACAAUGGGAUAUAAUUUAGCCAUAAAAAGAAUGAUACCCUGUCACUUGCUACAGAAUGGAUGGAAUUGGAAGACAUUAUAUUAAAUGAAAUAAGUCAGAUGCAGAAAGACAAAUUCCAUGCAUUCUUUCUCAUAUAUGGAUAUUUAAAAAUUCAAACAGAAUGUAUAAUAGUGGUUACUAGAAGCUGGGAGGAGGGUGAUGGUGGAAGGUCAUAUAAUGGAUACUCAAGUACAAUUAAAUAGAAAUAAUAAGUUUUAGUGUUCCUCAGAGCAGUGGGGGCAUUAUAAUUCACAAUAUGUUAUAAUCAACUAGAAGAGAGGAGCUCAAAGUCUCCAAAAACAAAGUUAU
rnacentral:tRNA from 1 species